UGGCAGCUUGGAGACCAGUAGAAUGAAAACCACAGGAACCAGGGGGAGGAAAUCCGUUGUGGGAGGGCACCAGCAUCACCCUAUUCUGAUCAGUUGUUUGAGUUUCUGAGGGAAAUCUCCUGACCAUUUUUCUUUCUGAGGCACAGUGUUUGGGGAACUUGCUAGGAGAAAGACCUUGAGAAUGGGGAGAGUGUGCUCCAGGACCUGGGAGUGCUGGAUGGCUUUCAUGACCAUCUUCGUACAGCGUGGACCAUGGCAAGAACUUAUUGGAGGUCUCAACGGCUGUUUGUUCACCCUGAGUCAUUCUACAGGACAUCUAUUUUGGCCUGCCCAGCACAUUUUUUCCUUUUAUGGUUAAAACAUCCCUCUGGAAAGUCAUCCCUGAGGCAAUGAGAACUUUCAGGAAUUCUCCCCACCACCACUACUGCCCAGCCACCCAUACCCAGGUCAUAUGGUCUCAGUGGGGAUGGCAGUCAAGGUGCCCAGCUCAGGAUAGGCGCUUUAGCUGCUUCAAGGGUCUGUUGUCUAAUGCCCAGGGACAGAUAGGUUAACCAACCUUCAUUCUGGUCCCAUAGCUUUGAAUUCAAGUAUGUUCUUGGCUCAGGCCAUGUUAUCUUGGGAAAGCUAGGAGCAAUAGAUGAAAAUGAAACUGGGCAAGAGAUGGUG
rnacentral:lncRNA from 1 species